rnacentral:lncRNA from 1 species
AAUACAACCACAGUGAUCAUCAUUCAUCACUACUUGUGUGAAAUUUAAACUUUGCCGCUAGGUGUCAGGCUUUUAAAUCUGUAAUAUUUCAGUCAUUUUAUGAUCAAUGUAUUGUGUUUCUAACGCCGAACGGGAAAAUGUUGGAGCUAUAAAUAUUUACAAUAACAAGGAGCCACAGUAAUAGACUCUUUCAAGGUCAAGAUGCCAUAAUGAAACACAAAGUGUAAGGGCUGCAAACACAAUGGAAAUUCCUACUACUAAAUUUGCUAUUAAGGUUGUAUAAACACAAUGGUGA